rnacentral:rRNA from 1 species
UACGUAGGUGGCAAGCGUUAUCCGGAAUUAUUGGGCGUAAAGCGAGCGCAGGUGGUUUAAUAAGUCUGGUGUAAAAGGCAGUGGCUCAACCAUUGUAUGCAUUGGAAACUGGUAGACUUGAGUGCAGGAGAGGAGAGUGGAAUUCCAUGUGUAGCGGUGAAAUGCGUAGAUAUAUGGAGGAACACCGGUGGCGAAAGCGGCUCUCUGGCCUGUAACUGACACUGAGGCUCGAAAGCGUGGGGAGCAAACAGG